rnacentral:lncRNA from 1 species
UGAAAUAUCUGCAAUGAAGGCAUAAAAAAUUCAUUUCAAAAAGAAAAUUUGAACAAAAUUUUCUAAUUUCAUAUUCAAUAUUUCAAAUAAAAGUUUAAAAUGAACCAUAUCUAUCAUUAUUGAUAGCUCAUGAAAACAAUAAAAAAAUUUAGACACUUAAUUUUUGCAGCUAAUGUAACAUUAUCAGGAUACUGUCUGUCCAAGUUAGUUGUGUGGGUUCAGACUGUGCAUGACUUAUCUAGACUGGUCUGUUGUGUAAAAACAGGAACAUUUGUUGUUAAGUUGAUGGGUAAGCAUCAGCUUAGAAAAAGAAAAUUUAUUUUUUACAUUAUAUUAAAAUUUAUAUAAAGGAUUUUUCAAAAA